UCUCCUUUUUGAAGAUCCCUUUAAUGUCAUGAAAAUCUAUAAAACUAGAGAAAUAUUUUAAAAUAAGAAUGAUUGUUAUGUGGCCACUUAACAAAGUGGACUAAAGAGUCAAACACAAUUUUUUGAUGUACUUAAAAGACGUCUCUAGUUCUAUGUAUUGAAAAUAUAUUUUUCAAUCCAUAAGCUUUAAAAAUCAUUUAAUACAUAUUAAAAGUGGGUGAAGGUUAUAGAUUAUACAUUGAUAAAAUCAUAUAUAUAUUUUACAUGCAAAGAAGAAAAAUAUGGUUGAAAUUGUUAAAUUUGUUUAUUUUAUUAUCAUCAUAUUUCUUUCUCUAGUUCUUGUUGAAAUGAACAUUGACACAUUUGUUGAUUGUACUCAUCAUUCUGAUUGUCCAUUUGAUUUGUGCCCAUAUCCCUUAAAACCGAGGUGUUUUUUUGUUGGAAAAUCUGGCGAAAGUGGAAAAUGUGCAUGUGGUUGAGAGAUGUGCACGUUUUUCUACCAUUUUCUAUGAACACAAUAUCAAGUUUAUAUGCAAUUUCUAUUUUUUAUAAUUUAUGGUCGUAAGUUUAUAUAUUGGUUUGUAAAAUUCUGAACCUUUAUCAAAUGUAUAUGCAAUUUUCAUUUUAAAGCAAUUUAGAGUUUUCUGCA